AUUGAACGCUGGCGGCAGGCUUAACACAUGCAAGUCGAGCGGAGAUGAGGUGCUUGCACCUUAUCUUAGCGGCGGACGGGUGAGUAAUGCUUAGGAAUCUGCCUAUUAGUGGGGGACAACAUUCCGAAAGGAGUGCUAAUACCGCAUACGUCCUACGGGAGAAAGCAGGGGAUCUUCGGACCUUGCGCUAAUAGAUGAGCCUAAGUCGGAUUAGCUAGUUGGUGGGGUAAAGGCCUACCAAGGCGACGAUCUGUAGCGGGUCUGAGAGGAUGAUCCGCCACACUGGGACUGAGACACGGCCCAGACUCCUACGGGAGGCAGCAGUGGGGAAUAUUGGACAAUGGGGGGAACCCUGAUCCAGCCAUGCCGCGUGUGUGAAGAAGGCCUUAUGGUUGUAAAGCACUUUAAGCGAGGAGGAGGCUACUGAGACUAACACUCUUGGAUAGUGGACGUUACUCGCAGAAUAAGCACCGGCUAACUCUGUGCCAGCCGCCGCAGUAAUAC
rnacentral:rRNA from 1 species